UCAGCUCUAAGCCUCAUCCCAGA
rnacentral:misc_RNA from 1 species